GAUGAACGCUGGCGGCGUGCCUAAUACAUGCAAGUCGAACGCUGGAGAUCUAGCUUGCUAGAUCGAAGGAGUGGCGAACGGGUGAGUAAUACAUAAGCAACCUACCCACGAAGACUGGGAUAAUCUCUGGAAACGGGGACUAAUACCGGAUAGGUAAUCGGAAGGCAUCUUCUGGUUAUUAAAGGGUAAAAACACUGGUGGAUGGGCUUAUGGCGCAUUAGUUAGUUGGUGAGGUAACGGCCCACCAAGACGAUGAUGCGUAGCCGGCCGGAGAGGGUGAACGGCCACAUUGGGACUGAGACACGGCCCAGACUCCUACGGGACGGAGCAGUAGGGAAUUUUCGGCAAUGGGGGCAACUCUGACCGAGCAACGCCGGGUGAGUGAAGACGGCCUUCGGGUUGUAAAGCUCUGUUGUAAGAGAAGAACGGUAGAUAGAGAAUAUCUAAGUGACGGUACCUUACGAGAAAGCAACGGCUAACUACGUG
rnacentral:rRNA from 1 species